GGGAGCCCGCGAGCGCCCCAGCCCGGGCCGGCGCCCUCGCCAGCGCCCGCGGCCGGAGCCGGGAAGCCGCGGCAGGCGCUGCCCUGCCCGCGCCGGGAGUGAGCGGCUGCGCGGCUGCUGGGAGGGUGAAUGAAGCCGGGAGGAGGGGAGGGGGGAGGCGGCGGCGGCGGAGGAGGCGCUGCGGGCGCUGGGAUGCGCCCGGAGCCCCGCUGCUCGCUCACUCUGGGCCGGGCCGGAGUCUCCGCCACUCCCGCGGCCGCCGCCGCCGCCUCCUACGUGGUUCCAGCGCUGCGCGCAGGCCGGUCCCGCAGGGGGCAGGGCAGGGGGCCGGCCGGGCGGAGCGAGAGGAGGAUCCGGCUGCAAAUCACCGAGGUGUUCCGUUCAAGCUGCAGAUUCGUCUGUCGUCUUUGGACAGCGGUCUCCUCCUCCACGGCUGCCUCGGGGGAGCCCGACACCCAUCAGGUCACAGAGAGUGCUGGUGGACAUCUCUCCCUGCCCCGAGAUCUUCGGUGGAAGUCCACGGGACUUGGUGUCUGGGCCAUUCAAAGUAUAUAUGAACUCACCAGGAGGCAUAAUGCGUCACCAUUUAAUUCUGGGCCACCCUAA
rnacentral:lncRNA from 1 species